GUGUGGAUAGCUCAGUUGGUUAGAGAGUGGUGCUGAUAAUGACAAGGUUGGGAGUUCGAUCCCCGUAUGGGACA